AUUACAGUAAUUAUCCGUAUUACCCCGUGUCGAGCACGCAUCCUGCAUCUAUAUAUAAGUUUCAGGAUGUCGAUGAUGCGGGUAACAUGAUCUAGAACAGACACUUGUUCUAGACGGAGAUACGCGCAUUGCGAGUUAGACUGCGGAGAUUGCAGGUGAUAUAUACGCACACUACACGACCAGCUACGUAUUUUCAGCUACCCAGCCAGGCGAGAGGAAAAUAGUGUUAUCGACGGAGACCACAUUGAAGAGAGAAAGGAUCCAGAUAUCGAACACAUCGCUUCUACCCAGCAACGAUGGCGAGGCUAGCACUAGCACUGUGCUGCAUCGUUCUCAGUCUAGCAUGGAGGUCUCAUGCCGCUGACGACGCCGCAACGUUCUCCGGCAGUUUAGGAGGAUCUGGAUCGGAUACAGCGCCAUCCGGAUCGAAUGCAGCGCCGCCUGCAUCCGGAUCGGAUGCAGCACCGCGACGAGCAACCAAAAGUCGCAAGCCUGCGCUAGGCUAGUAGAGAAUAUUGUUAAAUAAUUGUUCAUGUAAAAACUGUCGCUAUAUACGUGUAUCCUUGCGGAAAUAGUUCCCGCAUAUUAAUCACAGAACGGCUGGACCACACUGUGCUCUCCUCGCUCUGCUGUUACAAGCAAACCUGUAUACUAGUGGACCUGUAUAAAACAAACGCUUAUUCGUAAAAUAAUUCUUUUAAUUGUUAUGUACGAAGAUGUAAUAGCAGUAGUAUUUGGCUGUAUAGUACUAUAGCGGUAGAGAUUCCGCCCCCAUCAUCUCUGAGGUCAAUUCAGACUGUAUUGCGAUAUUUUGAGUCGAACGCAUAUUCUAAUGAACGUGACAUUUCUGCCGUGUCCCUCCUACAAUCUCGCAUGGAUUCACUGAUUUCGGAAUGUUCUAAACAGAAGUCAAUUUCAGACUUUUUUAUGAAAGAUUGAACCCCAGACUAUCAAAAUACUGCACGCAAACUUAAAUUUACAUCCGGACUAACGAAAACACGGAAACAACCAUGACACUAUAAUAUUUUUAUUUCAAUAGUAAUUCAGUUAUAAAACAAAGAAAUUUUGUUAAUAUAAUUUUUAUUUGUCAUGUGAUUUUUGUUUAUAAUAAUAUAUCAUCUAUUUUGAUUGGUUUUCUAGCAACUGGAGGCUAUUUAGUGGUGAUAUUAAACUGCAAUCUCAAUACCUCGUUACAAUGCCAAUAUUUCCCAAGUCCCGAUGGUGGCGGUAUAACGAGGUUUUACUGUAAUAUGGAUAAUUUAGCAGGUAAUAAAUGAAUUAGUAAAAAAGACA